rnacentral:rRNA from 1 species
AACGAACGCUGGCGGCAUGCCUAACACAUGCAAGUCGAACGAGAAGUUCGGGUCUAGUGGCGCACGGGUGCGUAACGCGUGGGAACAUGAACAUAGGGUCGGAAUAACUAUCAGAAAGGGGUGAUAAUACCGGAUAAUGGCUACGGACGAAAGAUUUAUUGAAUUUGGAUGGGCAAGCGUGGGAUUAGCUAGUUGGUAGGGUAAAAGCCUCCCACGGCGACGAUCCAUAGCUGGUCUGAGAGAAUGAUCAGCCACACUGGGACUGAGACACGGCCCAGACUCCUACGGGAGGCACCAGUGGGGAAUAGUGGAAAAUGGGCUAAAUCCUGAUCCAGCAAUGCCGCGUGAGUGUUGAAGGCCUUAGGGUUGUAAAGCUCUUUUACCCGUGAUGAUAAUGACAGUACCUGGAGAGUAAGCUCCGGCUAACUCCGUG